UACGUAGGGGGCUAGCGUUGUCCGGAAUCAUUGGGCGUAAAGCGCGUGUAGGCGGUCCGGUAAGUCCGCUGUGAAAGUCGGGGGCUCAACCCUCGAAUGCCGGUGGAUACUGUCGGGCUAGAGUGCGGAAGAGGCGAGUGGAAUUCCUGGUGUAGCGGUGAAAUGCGCAGAUAUCGGGAGGAACACCUAUGGCGAAGGCAGCUCGCUGGGACGUUACUGACGAUGAGACGCGAAAGCGUGGGGAGCAAACAGG
rnacentral:rRNA from 1 species